UACGUAGGGUGCAAGCGUUGUCCGGAAUUAUUGGGCGUAAAGAGCUCGUAGGCGGUCUGUUGCGUCGGCUGUGAAAACCCGGGGCUCAACCCCGGGCCUGCAGCCGAUACGGGCAGACUAGAGUUCGGCAGGGGGAGACUGGAAUUCCUGGUGUAGCGGUGAAAUGCGCAGAUAUCAGGAGGAACACCGGUGGCGAAGGCGGGUCUCUGGGCAUUACCUGACGCUGAGGAGCGAAAGUGUGGGGAGCGAACAGG
rnacentral:rRNA from 1 species